UAUUGAUGAGCUGCUUCAGUGCUCUGAGAGUGUUUAUAGUGCUGUGACUUUAACACUUCAUCACCGACACACACAACAAUCUUCAUCAACAUGACCUUCAUCAUCAUCUUCAUCUGGACUCUCACAGCGUUUGCUCAAGAGUGUAGAGGACAGAUCAGCGUCACUCAGAGUCCCUCAACAACAGCAGAGAGAGGAGAAACAGUCAGAAUCAGCUGCAAAACCAGUACAGAUGUGCGCAGAUACAGUGAUGGGGAUGAUGCUUUCUUCUGGUAUUCACAGAAACCUGGAGAAGCUCCUAAACUCCUGAUUUUUUACGCUAACCAACUCAAGUCAGGAACUCCAUCUAGAUUCAGUGGUAGUGGAUCUAACAGUGAUUUCUCUCUGACCAUCAGUGGAGUCCAGACUGAAGAUGCUGGACAUUAUUACUGUCAGAGUUUUCACUGCAGAACAGAUUCAGAUGGUGAUUGUGAGAGUGAUUAUGUGUACACUUUUGGUGGAGGAACUAAACUGGUGAUCAGAACUGGUCCCGCAGUGAAGCCCUCCGUGUCUCUGCUGCCUCCCUCUUCUCUGCAGAUCUCUGGAGACUCAGCAGCACUGCUCUGCCUGCUCAGCUCUUACUCUCCACAGGGGGCGCAGGUGAGCUGGACGCUGGACGGGUCAGAGGUCAGCGACGGGGUUCAGACCAGCGCAGAGAGCGAGCGGGACGGACUCUACAGCCGCAGCAGCGUCCUGAGCCUCAGCAAAGCACGCUGGGAAAACGCCGAGCGCUUGGUCUGCAGAGUAACACACGAAGGAGGAGAUCAAGAGAGAGAGUUCCUCAAGAGCUCCGAGUGCUGAUGUUUCUCCAGUGAAGAGCAGCAGGAUUCACAGCAGAUUUACAGCUCAAUACUCAAGCGCUCUUUCCAUCUGCUGCCGUUGCUGUUCGUUCAAUAAAGCUUCUGAACGCCUUA